rnacentral:lncRNA from 1 species
AGCUUCUGAGGCCUGGCCCUAGAAUUGCCAGUUUUUGGAAACAGAGAUUUAGGCCUAGUCUCCUUAACUGCCAAUUUGAAGCCUGUCAUGAAAUCAGCCCAGCCAUCUCACCACAUCUAGUGCAGAAGGGCAGCUUCUGCAUUAUUGUUUUUACAGCCCCUAAAACUUGCCUCGGUUUAUAUCUGGAAGUCUCUCUAGUUUCCAGUCUGUCGUAAAUAGCCAAUGAAACAGCCUUAGUGAAUACAAAUAAAGAGUUGGGUUGUUUGUUUGUUUGUUUGUUUGUUUUUUAAAAAAAGGAAUGAAAAGAAUUUUUGCAAAAAAAAAAAAAAGAAAGAAAAGAAUUGUUGCCUCUACCCAGUUGGAGCCCGAGACUGGCCAGCUGGCCUCUGGGUGGUGCCUGGAGGUGUGGGAAGGAAGGCCUAGGGGAUGACCUCCAAGUGGUAGACCCUGUCCCUGUGACCCCCAAGUGGUAGACCCUGUCCCUGUGACCCCAGGUGAAGACGCUGUUCCUGUGACCCCUAAGUGGUAGGCCCUGUCCCUGUGACCCCAGGUGAAGACCCUGUCCCUGUGACCCCUAAGUGGUAGGCCCUGUCCCUGUGACCCCAGAUGAAGACCCUGUCCCUGUGACCCCCAGGUGGAGGCCCUGUCCCUGUGACCCCCAGGUGAAGGCCCUGUCCCUGUGACUUUCACUCCACAGGUUUCCUUUUGUUUUUUGAAUGUUUCUGCAGCCAGAAGCCACAGAGCCAGGUGUGUUUGGAAAGACCUGUAAUUAAUUCCUCUUUGGCAGGAAGAUUGAGAGUUCAAGGCUUCAUAAGAAAACCCAUACCCCAGAAAAAAAAAAUGAAGGCACACAAAGUGUACAGUGCUCACUUAAAUUUGAGGUUGGGUGAAUAGCAUGUGAUUCUUACAGCUUAAGUAUCUACCAUGUGGCAUUGAACAUACACUAAGAUAAAUGUUUUUAGGUGAGUUUUGAAUUAAUUUGAGUAUUCUGGUUUUCUACAAAGAAAUCCUAUUGUGUGCAUGUGGCGUGCAUAUGUGAGGUGUGCCCAUGCCAUGGUUAGUGUGGAGGCAAGAAGAUAGCUUCUAGGAAUCAAUCAGCUCUCUCCUCUUCUGUCAGUUCUCUCUCUCUGUCUGUGGAGAGCAGACUGAGGGCCCAGAGCUGUACUUCCAACUGAGCCAUCUUGCUGGCCUGGAUUUUCAUCUGCUAAGAAUGCCAGACCUGGAAGCCAGUGAGUCCUAUGGUCCAUGAUAGUUAAUAGAGUUGAUAGCUGGCCCUCCUCUGAGAGUAGCCAAUACAUACACAGGGAGCAGUUGACCCAGGCAACGUGGGUAUUUGUACUGAACUAGCAACCGUCUGCUCAAAAUGAAUGGGUCCAUUGAUGCUAAACCCCAAUAAAGGUUUAGAAUUUGUAUUUCUUCAUCUUUGAUCUGCAUGUUCACUGCAGUUCAUAGCUAUAAUAUACUCAUAGAGGACCUGGUGUAGACCCACAAAGGCCCAGUGCUUGCUGCUUCAGUCUCUGUGAGAGCAUAUGCACUGUGCUUAGUUGACUCAGGAUUCUGUGUUCUCCUGGUGUCCUCUAUUCUGACUCUUACAAUCUUCCUGAUUCUCUCAACUCUGAGGGGAGGGAUUUCAUGGAAACCUCAAGUUUAGAUUCUCUCUCCAAAUAACGUCUGGCAGUAGGUCUCUGUCCCCAUCUGCCUCAAAGGAAGCCCCUCUGAUGAUGGCUGCACAGGGCACUGAUCCAGGAGUAUAGUAUAGUAUCAUUGGAAUCCCUCUCUUUUGUUUUUUUGAUCAGUGUUUGACUUUACCCUAGGUCUCUGGGCGUCUAGUCUCUAGUUCUCGUUACCCAAGCAGUGUUGGGCAUAGGUUCCAUCUCAUGGAGUUGGCCUAAAGUCAAAUCAGACUUGGGCUGGCUACACCCACAAGCCUGUGCCACCAUUGCUCCAGAGGGUUUCGCUGGCAGCACAGAUUGUAGGUCAAAGGCUUUGUGGCUUGGUUGCUGUCCACAUCUCUCUUUUGGAACCUGAAGAGACUAGAAUGUACGAGUGAAGACUUCAUGUUCAAUUAGUUGUAUGGGAUUUAAAAUGUUAUUUCAGGUUAAAUCACAAAAAUUGAACUAAAAUAUAAAGUACUCCUCUUUUUAUAAUGUAUGAAAUCAAUAACUAAGAGGUAGAAUUUAUUAGUAGAGGAUAAUGAUCAUUUAUGGACUUAAAACUUCCUUCCAUUAUUUCAUGAGUUUUCUCUUUCUCAUUUCUCAGUGACAUUGACCAGCAGUACUUAAACUAUAUAUUCAGCAUGGUACUCCUGGCAUUUGCAUCUCAUCCGACAGGCUGACUUUGGACAAGGGCAAAAAUCAGGCACAUUCUUCCCCAGAAUAUCACAAGAACAAUCUCUAGGCAACAUACUAAAAUUCUUCUCUUCUGAAACCUCUUGAGCCACGUCUCAGUUAGGAUUUUACUGCUGUGAAGAGACUCCAUGGCCAAGGCAACUGUUAUAAAGACAACAUUUAAUUGGGGCUGGCUUACAGGUUCAGAGGUUCAGUCCUUUAUCAUCAAGGUGGGAGCAUGGCAGCAUCCAGGCAGGCAUGGAACAGGAGGAACUGAGAGUUCUACAUCUUCAUCUGAAGGCUGCUAGCAGAAUACUGGCUUCCAGGCAGCUAGGAUGAGGGUUUUAAAGCUCAAUCCCACAGUGGCACACCUACUCCAACAAGGCUACACCUCCAAAUAGUGCCACUUUCCAUUGGCCAAGCAUAUUCAAAUCACCACACGGGUUGUGAGCCUCCUGAUGGAUGCUUCAAACCAAGCCUGCAAGAGCAGAAAGUGCUUAACUGCUGAUCCAUCUCUAGCUACUCUACUAACUGAUUUUGUGUGUCAACUUGACACAGUUAAGAGUCAUCAGGGAGAAAGGAGCCUCAGUUGAAGAAAUGCCUCUAUGAGAUCCAGAUGUCAGACAUUUUCUCAAUUAAUGAUCAACGGUGGAGGACCUAGCCCAUGGUGGGUGGUGGUUUUGGAUUCUAUGAGAAAGCAGGCUGAGCAAGCCAGUAUAGGCAGCACCCCUCCAUGGCCUCUGCAUCAGCUCUUGCCUCCAGGUUCUGUCUCUCCUUUAGUUACUCUCCUGACUUCCUCCAGUGAUGUAUUGUGAUCUGGAAAUGUAAGCCAAAUAAACCCUUCCUCCCCG